rnacentral:rRNA from 1 species
CGCAGCGUCGCUGCGCGACAUGACCUGCUGUUCCCGCUGCUGAACCUCUACCCGCUGGGGGAGCGGCGUGGACGGUUAUAUCGGAGGAACCAGGAACGGUCGUUCGGACGCACGAAGGGAGCGUGACAAUUUUGACGAGGAUUAAUUAAGGAACGAUCGGGUUUUCUGUCCUAACCUGCGCGUACGCGCGAACGACGUCGGACGUCCUGCCUCUGCUUCGGGCCGGCGAUGCUUCCUUUACUUAUAUUGGUACCUUCGUGUUCAUACGUUUUUGAUGUGUCUCGCAACCCAGUUGUUUAUACACCUUGGUUCCUUCUCAUAUCUGGCACACCUUCCAAAACAGUAGCAGCGCCGACACAAAUACUGGCGGGAACGGUAAGAGAGCGGGUCCUCCGCAGUUAGAGCCUCGUAGUAAUAUUCUAUACCUCACCCGCCUCACAAAUAUAACAGGAAGGGUGAAGAGAGGAUGUGACACCCUGACUACGUCCGGCCCUUUUAAUUUUUGCUCAACAUGGGCCAAACCCGUUACAAAGACCGGUACGAAAAGCCUCCGUGGUCGAGUUACAGACAGGUCUUCGAGCUAGUUUUGUUCGUUGAGUACUUCGAGAUGACACUAACAUAGAACAAGAGCUACACGUGGCCGUGCCAUAAUCCACCAAAAUAAAUAUGUAAGCCAUACUUCGUAUCAAGGUCAGCGGAACAAGGAAAGUAACCAACGAACAAGCAGCACCCUAUAGAUAACCCUUAAUUUUGCCGACUCGUCACCAGACGACGUACCAAUCGUUCGUUUGGUAGUAGCUUGUUACCGUAGUUCACCGACCGGGAGAUGUACUUCCCACUCGUGUUUGAGUCGCGUAGGAUGCUGGGAGCAUGGUACGUCCCUAUGUUCAUGGGCUAAGAUUAGGUACGACCCCCUCGUUUUUAACCUCUUUUACGUUAGUGUAACCUAUUGUAAACCACACUGUUGUAGCCAUAGAACAGUAGAAUGAUAUCUCGAGGAUAGGCAGCAGAGUUCCUAGACACAGAGAGUAAGCGUGACAAGGUAGAGCACCAAGCCGCUAUGAAACCGAUGUGAACAGGACUUAGACCCGAACUGUUCUGAGCACUAGAACAAGAACUACCCGACAACGUUUGUCUUGUCCUGAUACUUUCUCGUAAAGUUCACUAACUUCGUCUCAACCGAAAGGAGAUGCUAAAGAAGAAGUGGUUUAUACGGAGGUAUUACAUGUCGUUGCUCGAUUCCAUAAUACGAGAAAGUGAGUGGGAGUGUAACCAGUCAUAUCGCCGACCACGUACCAGAGAAUCACAAAACUUGGCCGUGCCAAGAUAAAACCUGUCAGCAAAACAUGUUUGGUCGUGUGUUCUACAGGACCAAUGGGAUUAUCGUAACCGACGUGACAGCCAUAGAGUCAAGGACGUCUAUACCAGAAUGACACAGAGACUGACCCGUUUUUAUAGGAAACAAACAUUCAUGCAUCGUGUAGGUAGUACCGUUCCCUUGUGGGCAUAACUCUUCGAAGAAAAUACAAAACCUGCUGGAGUGUUCACCGAAGCGAUAACCGCGUUGUGAUAACCGGUUAUGAGCCAAGAACUAAGGAAAUCAAGGUCGAUGGCCGUAGCCAACUUUGUAGAGGAAGGUUGACUCCUUCGUCCGUUCGGACACCUCAACGGUUACGUUCACUUCUCCCGUCACGUGCCUGAUAGUUUUUGAGUUGUUUGCCGGUAGAAAGUGUACCUUGGAGGCGUGACUACUCUGUGCCGUACUCACUACUUGAUACGCCACGUACGGUCUAGUUGCUACUUAUAUGUGACUGGCUGUCGUAUGACCGUACCGUACAGCGGUGAUCGAAGACACUCUAGAGCCUAUGUUAGUUUGCGGGUGUGCUACACGUGGGCUUAGUUCAACAGCGGUGAUAGAACAGGUUCAUAACAUGGAUGAACCAGCGGAAACGUGGUUGCAACGAAGGUCCGUCACGCGGUCUUUGUUUCACACGAGAGCUACUCUAUCAUUUUCUUCGGUUUCUUUACGACGUACUAGAGCAUAGAGGUUCCCUUUUCAUACUUUUCGAAUCACUUGAUCUCAUACAGCAUCCACCACCUUCUUUUAACAAGUGGAUACCACGACACGACCCCUUUCGCGACCUCUCGUACCUGUUAGUACGCUUGGCCACCCUGGAUGACCGUCUAAAGACCCGGCUCUACUACCACAUAUAACGGGGUAGAUUGUUACAUCGACCAGUGUAUCUUGAAGAACGCCUUCCUCCGCUCAAACACUGAGUGCAGACCCGAAACGAGUACGUACGACCAUAGGAACUCGCAGGGUGAUGAUGUUAUUAGGGGAUCUGGUUCCAGAGUUCCGCUCCGACGUUCCUCGAUGUGAGUCAGAAAUUCCGAAACGCAAAUACUACUGAAACGCGAACAACCAAACCACAUUAUAACACUAAUACACAACAUAAAGGACAGACUUUGAGAUAUUAGACCACGUGCGAACAUGAUGAUUACUAUGGGACACCUAACCAAUACAUACAUGGUACCCAGACAACGUUGGCCGACCUCGUCC